UAUGACAUUAAAAUUAGAUAUGAGUAAGGCCUAUGAUCAAGUGGAAUGGGGCUCUACAAGGGCAAAGAUGGAACGUAUGGGUUUUGAUGUAAGGUGAGUCGACCUUAUCAUGAAAUGUGUCUCUACAGUGUCAUAUUCAGUGAGCAAUAAAGGAAAAAUGGGUGAGUUUUUUCGACCUUUUAGGGGGCUUAGACAAGGAGACCCAUUAAACCCUUUCUUGUUUCUGAUUUGCAAUAAGGGUCUUUCUACCCUUAUGCGCAUGGCUUUGCAGGAGGGUUUGAUUAAAGGGGCAAAAACUAGUAGAUGAGGCCUUCAAAUUUCGCAUUUACUUUUAGUCGGUGAUUAUGUCCUUUUCGGUGAAGCAAAUGAAAGAGGAAUUCAGGUUUUGAAGGGUAUUUUGAAGGAAUAUAAAUCGUGUUCAGACCAAUGUGUGAAUUAAGACAAAUCAACGGUCUUCUAUAGCUCAAAUACCCCAAAAGAAAUUUGAGUGUUGAUUUCGAAAAGGUUUUUAGUUUAGUAUUCAAAUGAUCUUAAGAGGUACCUGGGCUUACCUAACAUGGUGGAUAGACGGAAGAAAGUAGCAUUUCAGCUCUUGAAAGACGGGUUCAAGAAGAAGAUCGAUGGAUGGAAUUUGAAGUUCCUGUCUCAAGGGGGGAAUUAAAUAGUAUCAUGCCACAAUUCAGGUGGCAAAAAGGACAGGAGAAAAAGGAAUACAUUGGUGUGAAUGGUCUUGACUAUGUGAGUUGAAAGAAGAUGGAGGGAACCAACCAACCUAUUCGUGGAAGAGUAUAUGGGUAGCAAGAGGUCUUUUGCAAGAUGGUUUUGGAUGGAAGCUUGGUUCGGGGGACAAUAUUUUAAUUUCCGAGCAUGCUAGAUUCCAGCUUCAGUUGAAUAUCGAUUAUGUGAUAACAUGCAAAGUAAUGAUGUGUCUUUUGUUACAUAUUUUAUUGAUAAAGCUAGCAGAGAAUGGAAAAAGGGAAGUAAUUUUCAA